GAAGUCGGCAAAUUGGAUCCGUAACUUCGGAAUAAGGAUUGGCUCUGAGGACCGGGGUGUGUCGGGUUUGGGAGGGAAGCGGAUGCGGCCGGUGCCGGGCCUGGUCGAUGCCUCCUCUCGGGGGGGCUGAAUCCGGACUCGUGCUCCGGCCUUCCGCGGAUCUCCCUAGCCAUGGGGCCGUAUCGGUUUCGGCCGGUGCGUGCCUUUACGACCGCCGUUCAACGGUCAACUCAGAACUGGCACGGACAAGGGGAAUCCGACUGUCUAAUUAAAACAAAGCAUUGCGAUGGCCCUCGCGGGUGUUGACGCAAUGUGAUUUCUGCCCAGUGCUCUGAAUGUCAACGUGAAGAAAUUCAAGCAAGCGCGGGUAAACGGCGGGAGUAACUAUGACUCUCUUAAUACAUAGUUUUAGAUCAUUCGAAAACAACUAGCAUGUGAACUUUGUUGU
rnacentral:ncRNA from 1 species